rnacentral:rRNA from 1 species
UCUACGGGUGGCAGCAGUGGGGAAUAUUGGACAAUGGGCGAAAGCCUGAUCCAGCCAUGCCGCGUGUGUGAAGAAGGCCUUCGGGUUGUAAAGCACUUUCAGUGGGGAAGAAAGCCUUGGGGCUAAUACCCUCGAGGAAGGACAUCACCCACAGAAGAAGCACCGGCUAACUCCGUGCCAGCAGCCGCGGUAAUACGGAGGGUACGAGCGUUAAUCGGAAUUACUGGGCGUAAAGCGCGCGUAGGCGGUCUGAUAAGCCGGUUGUGAAAGCCCCGGGCUCAACCUGGGAACGGCAUCCGGAACUGUCAGGCUAGAGUGCAGGAGAGGAAGGUAGAAUUCCCGGUGUAGCGGUGAAAUGCGUAGAGAUCGGGAGGAAUACCAGUGGCGAAGGCGGUCUUCUGGACUGACACUGACGCUGAGGUGCGAAAGCGUGGGUAGCAAACAGGAUUAGAUACCCCAGUAGUC